rnacentral:rRNA from 1 species
CGUUGUUCGGAUUUACUGGGCGUAAAGGGCGCGUAGGCGGCGUGGUAAGUCACUUGUGAAAUCUCCGAGCUUAACUCGGAACGGUCAAGUGAUACUGCUGUGCUAGAGUGCAGAAGGGGCAACUGGAAUUCUCGGUGUAGCGGUGAAAUGCGUAGAUAUCGAGAGGAACACCUGCGGCGAAGGCGGGUUGCUGGGCUGACACUGACGCUGAUGUGCGAAAGCUAGGGGAGCGAACGGG